GCAGAACAUUGCAGAACAUUGCAGAACACUGCAGAACACUGCAGAACAUUGCAGAACAUUGCAGAACAUUGCAGAACAUUGCAGAACACUGCAGAACACUGCAGAACACUGCAGAACAUUGCAGAACACUGCAGAACACUGCAGAACAUUGCAGAACACUGCAGAACAUUGCAGAACAUUGCAGAACACUGCAGAACACUGCAGAACACUGCAGAACACUGCAGAGCAGCUGUGCAGCUGCUGUUUGUCCAGCCAGAAGGAAACCAUCCCAGUCCUCACCCUGUCCCUUGGGGGAGCCAAUACAUAACUCCCUGCUCAGCCUCUCUCUCCAGGCUCUGUGAGCUGCCAGCACACCCUGCAGCUCCUGACAGCCCCCAGGAAGGAGCCCUGGCUCAGGAUGCAGGACCUGGAGCCUCAGGAAAGCCCUUGCAUUGCUCCCAAGGGGAUCCAGGCUGUGACUGGAGGAGAAUGCUGCAGGUUAGCUGCUCACACUCUUGUGUCUCACACGUUUCUCUCCACACCCGGGGCAUGAAGAGGCUGGGCCUGCCCUCCAGGACAGCUCCAGCCCUUUUUGGCAGGGGUUGUGCAGCUUUUCCUGCUGGGCUGCCACACGUGCUGUUGUCAUCACUGUGCAGGACUCAGAGCAGCAGCAGCGAAGGGAUGAACACCACGACACAGGAAUACAACAGAGAGGGAGUUUCUCACUCCUGUAGCCACAACAUCUCUCUCAGGGCUUUCCAAAAAUAAACCAAAACAAACAAUGUAAAGCACCUCAUCAAUAGGUGUAGCUCCCAUUUUGCAGCUGUGAAAACACAGGUAUGGACAGAUUAAGUCUUGAUCCCAACAAAGGAAAUGACUGAAUCAGGAGCUUGAGUACUGGUGCUGGUUCAAUACUCAAGAAAUGGCUCCAGAAAUAUAUAACCUUAUUUUUCAAAUUCCUUAAAGUUCCUCUGGUUGAUGAACAACUCUACUUCCAUAUGGCCCAACUUAUUUAAAACACUUUUUAAAGGGGGAAAUUAAACUCUGUCUGAAUCAAAAUGUAACUGGGCUGUGACCCAAAACCUCAACUUGUAUUUACACGAA